rfam:Triticum urartu cultivar G1812 contig1098765, whole genome shotgun sequence.
UGUAUACUCCCUCCGUUCCUAAAUACUUGUCUUUCUAGGCAUUUCAACAAGUGACUACAUACGGAGCAAAAUGAGUGAAUCUACACUCUAAAAUAUGUCUACAUACAUCCGUAUGUAGUAGUCAUUUAAAAUGUCUAGAAAGACAAGUAUUUAGGAACGGAGGGAGUACAUU